rnacentral:rRNA from 1 species
GAUGAACGCUAGCGGCAGGCUUAAUACAUGCAAGUCGAGGGACAGCACAGGUAGCAAUACUGGGUGGUAACCGGCAAACGGGUGCGGAACACGUACACAACCUUCCUUUAAGUGGGGGAUAGCCCAGAGAAAUUUGGAUUAAUACCCCGUAAUAUAGUUGAAUGGCAUCAUUUGAUUAUUAUAGCUACGGCGCUUAAUGAUGGGUGUGCGGCUGAUUAGAUAGUUGGCGGGAUAACGGCCCACCAAGUCUACGAUCAGUAGCUGAUGUGAGAGCAUGAUCAGCCACACGGGCACUGAGACACGGGCCCGACUCCUACGGGAGGCAGCAGUAAGGAAUAUUGGUCAAUGGACGCAAGUCUGAACCAGCCAUGCCGCGCGAAGGAUUAAGGUCCUCUGGAUUGUAAACUUCUUUUAUUUGGGACGAAAAAGGGCCUUUCUAGGUCAACUGACGGUACCAGAUGAAUAAGCACCGGCUAACUCCGUGCCAGCCGCCGCGGUAACAC